AUUGAACGCUGGCGGCAUGCCUUACACAUGCAAGUCGAACGGCAGCACGGGAGCAAUCCUGGUGGCGAGUGGCGAACGGGUGAGUAAGGUAUCGGAACGUGCCCAGUCGUGGGGGAUAACGUAGCGAAAGUUACGCUAAUACCGCAUACGAUCUAUGGAUGAAAGCGGGGGAUCGCAAGACCUCGCGCGAUUGGAGCGGCCGAUAUCAGAUUAGGUAGUUGGUGGGGUAAAGGCUCACCAAGCCGACGAUCUGUAGCUGGUCUGAGGGGACGACCAGCCACACUGGGACUGAGACACGGCCCAGACUCCUACGGGAGGCAGCAGUGGGGAAUUUUGGACAAUGGGCGAAAGCCUGAUCCAGCCAUGCCGCGUGCAGGAUGAAGGCCUUCGGGUUGUAAACUGCUUUUGUACGGAACGAAAAGGUUUGGGCUAAUAAGCUGAGCUCAUGACGGUACCGUAAGAAUAAGCACCGGCUAACUACGUGCCAGCCGCCGCAGUAA
rnacentral:rRNA from 1 species